GCAAAAUGCUAGUGUCGCUUGGAAUCGAAAGUGAGAAAAAAUGGACUAGGGAUCAAGUUGAAAAACUUACUAUUCAGUUCAGUAAAGAAACUGAUCUGUUAAACGGACAGUUCUCAGACUUAACAAAUCAAGUAAAUUUACAAAACAGCCUGUUGAUCAAGAAUUAUUCUAAGUUUAAAACUGAAGUAAUAGGCAACAUUGGAGAUGUGAAAUCUGAUUUUGAAUCGAUGGUUACAGAUAUUGAUGACAAAAUCCAAGCGAAGCUAAGAGAAAUGACCGAAGCAUUAAUUCAAAAUAAGAAGCUUAUGGAAAGUCAAAAUAUUUUGAUUAAUGCACAGAAGGCAGAACUUGAAGUUUAAAGAAAUCCCAAGUAAAAGUGAUUAAUGAUCUUAAUGAUAUCAAAAUAUGUCCACAGGGCUGGACACAAUUUUUAGCACGUUGUUAUCUUUUUAUAAAAAAUAAGAACACGUUCAGUGAAGCACGUGUCGAUUGUAAUCUUCUUGGAGCAACUUUUGCAGACUUUGAAAGUCUAGAAGAGAAUAAUUUUGUCGCCGAAAAGUUUAGGAUCACCAGAUCUACGCGGAUUGGAUACUCUGAUGAGGAAGAAGAAAAAAAACAGGGUUUCAUUUCGAACAGGUCAAACUGCGCCUUUUUACAUACUUUAGAUCAGGAGAGCCAAAUGGAGGAAGAGUGCAGAACUGCGUUAUUAUGGGAUUUGAAUCCCCAUAUAAUAUGUGGAAUGACUAUCCUUGUUUCAAGUUUUACAAAUUUCAAUAUAUCUGUAAAAAAGAUGCAAACAAUUUUACUUAAGUGUAGUGAUGGAUAUUUGUUUAAUACACAAGUCAAUUGUGACCAUAACGUAGGGAGUAUCAUAAAUUGUUUUGUACCUUAAAAGAUGACCUGUAAAGAACAAGUUUCUUAGAAAAUACACAAUUUCAAAUUUCAUUUCUUUGGAAUAUUCAAAUGAAUUAUUUCCUCUAAAAAUGUUUUGAAGGGUAUAAAUCUGUAUCUUAAAAAAUAUUUUAUCACGUUUACCAACAGUAAAAUUAUAUUGGUGCCAUUAUUACAUGGUUGAUUCCCGAAAAAGUUGUAACAUAGAAUGUCUCUGUUAUAUAACACAUGAAUAUUGUACGUAAACAGAAUGAAGUGUUCCUGAACAAAUAUAAUUUACUAUAUUAAGUAGGGUUUUAUCCGUUUAGUUAUGAUUUUGUGCAUGUGUCAUUCGCUUUUAAGGCAAUUAUCUACAAUUUCAGUUUAUUUCAUACAAGCCUUUUGGAAGUAUGCUUUUGUAAAAUUCAAACAAUAUUUUUUGAAGCAAAUAUAUAGCUUUAUACACUUUAAUAUAAGUGUUGACACAUUUUACCGCAGUUCUGUUGAGAGUCCUUUUCAACGUACUAUGCUCCAUUUGAAACAUGCGAGACAUUUUAUGGUCAGUUUAUAAAGUAUAGCGUGCAAUUUUAAAUCAGCGAGAUUUUAUGUCGACAUUUUUUAAAAUGUCGCGGCUUAUAUAAACUCUUGAGGUUUUUCUGUCACACGUCUGUCGUCAACUAUCGAGUUUUACGAAUGAAACUGCGGCUUUUACUGUGUACUUAGUAGACAAAGUGUUGUGUUUCUUAGUAUUUGGGGAAUUAUAUUAAAAGUCAUUUUAAAGUCA